UGGGGAAUAUUGUGCAAUGGGGGAAACCCUGACACAGCGACGCCGCGUGAGUGAAGAAGGCCUUCGGGUCGUAAAGCUCAAUAGUAUGGGAAGAAAGAAAUGACGGUACCAUACGAAAGCCCCGGCUAACUACGUGCCAGCAGCCGCGGUAAUACGUAGGGGGCGAGCGUUGUCCGGAAUUACUGGGCGUAAAGAGCACGUAGGCGGCUAUAAAAGUCAGAUGUGAAAAACCUGGGCUCAACCGAGGGUAUGCAUCUGAAACUAAAUAGCUUGAGUCAAGGAGAGGAGAGCGGAAUUCCUGGUGUAGCGGUGAAAUGCGUAGAGAUCAGGAAGAAUACCAGUGGCGAAAGCGGCUCUCUGGACUUGAACUGACGCUGAGGUGCGAAAGCGUGGGGAGCAAACAG
rnacentral:rRNA from 1 species